rnacentral:rRNA from 1 species
GACGAACGCCGUCGGAGUGCUUAACACAUGCAAGUCGAACGGAAAGGCCCUGCUUUUGUGGGGUGCUCGAGUGGCGAACGGGUGAGUAACACGUGAGUAACCUGCCCUUGACUUUGGGAUAACUUCAGGAAACUGGGGCUAAUACCGGAUAGGAGCUCCUGCUGCAUGGUGGGGGUUGGAAAGUUUCGGCGGUUGGGGAUGGACUCGCGGCUUAUCAGCUUGUUGGUGGGGUAGUGGCUUACCAAGGCUUUGACGGGUAGCCGGCCUGAGAGGGUGACCGGCCACAUUGGGACUGAGAUACGGCCCAGACUCCUACGGGAGGCAGCAGUGGGGAAUAUUGCACAAUGGGCGGAAGCCUGAUGCAGCAACGCCGCGUGCGGGAUGACGGCCUUCGGGUUGUAAACCGCUUUCGCCUGUGACGAAGCGUGAGUGACGGUAAUGGGUAAAGAAGCACCGGCUAACUACGUGCCAGCAGCCGCGGUGAUACGUAGGGUGCGAGCGUUGUCCGGAUUUAUUGGGCGUAAAGGGCUCGUAGGUGGUUGAUCGCGUCGGAAGUGUAAUCUUGGGGCUUAACCCUGAGCGUGCUUUCGAUACGGGUUGACUUGAGGAAGGUAGGGGAGAAUGGAAUUCCUGGUGGAGCGGUGGAAUGCGCAGAUAUCAGGAGGAACACCAGUGGCGAAGGGCGGUUCUCUGGGCCUUUCCUGACGCUGAGAAGCGAAAGCGUGGGGAGCGAACAGGCUUAGAUACCCUGGUAGUCCACGCUGUAAACGGUGGGUACUAGGUGUGGGGUCCAUUCCACGGGUUCCGUGCCGUAGCUAACGCUUUAAGUACCCCGCCUGGGGAGUACGGCCGCAAGGCUAAAACUCAAAGGAAUUGACGGGGCCCCGCACAAGCGGCGGAGCAUGCGGAUUAAUUCGAUGCAACGCGCAGAACCUUACCUGGGUUUGACAUGGAUCGGGAGUGCUCAGAGAUGGGUGUGCCUCUUUUGGGGUCGGUUCACAGGUGGUGCAUGCCUGUCGUCAGCUCGUGUCGUGAGAUGUUGGGUUAAGUCCCGCAACGAGCGCAACCCUUGUUCACUGUUGCCAGCACGUUAUGGUGGGGACUCAGUGGAGACCGCCGGGGUCAACUCGGAGGAAGGUGGGGAUGACGUCAAGUCAUCAUGCCCCUUAUGUCCAGGGCUUCACGCAUGCUACAAUGGCUGGUACAGAGAGUGGCGAGCCUGUGAGGGUGAGCGAAUCUCGGGAAGCCGGUCUCAGUUCGGAUUGGGGUCUGCAACUCGACCUCAUGAAGUCGGAGUCGCUAGUAAUCGCAGAUCAGCAACGCUGCGGUGAAUACGUUCCCGGGGCU